UAAUACGAAGGGUGCUAGCGUUGUUCGGAAUCACUGGGCGUAAAGCGUGCGUAGGCGGCUUAACAAGUCAGGGGUGAAAUGCCAAGGCUCAACCUUGGAACUGCCUUUGAAACUGUUAAGCUGGAGUGUCGGAGGGGAUAGCGGAAUUCCUAAUGUAGUGGUGAAAUACGUAGAUAUUAGGAGGAACACCGGUGGCGAAGGCGGCUAUCUGGACGACAACUGACGCUGAGGCACGAAAGCGUGGGGAUCAAACAGGAUUAGAUACCCUGGUAGUCCACGCUGUAAACGAUGGAUGCUAGCCGUUGGAGGGUUCCCCUUCAGUGGCGUAGCUAACGCGUUAAGCAUCCCGCCUGGGGAGUACGGUCGCAAGAUUA
rnacentral:rRNA from 1 species